rnacentral:rRNA from 1 species
GAUGAACGCUGGCGGCGUGCCUAAUACAUGCAAGUCGAGCGAACUGAUUAGAAGCUUGCUUCUAUGACGCUAGCGGCGGACGGGUGAGUAACACGUGGGCAACCUGCCUGUAAGACUGGGAUAACUUCGGGAAACCGAAGCUAAUACCGGAUAGGAUCUUCUCCUUCAUGGGAGAUGAUUGAAAGAUGGUUUCGGCUAUCACUUACAGAUGGGCCCGCGGUGCAUUAGCUAGUUGGUGAGGUAACGGCUCACCAAGGCAACGAUGCAUAGCCGACCUGGGAGGGGGAUCGGCCACACUGGGACUGAGCCACGGCCCAGACUCCUACGGGAGGCAGCAGUAGGGAAUCUUCCGCAAUGGACGAAAGUCUGACGGAGCAACGCCGCGUGAGUGAUGAAGGCUUUCGGGUCGUAAAACUCUGUUGUUAGGGAAGAACAAGUACAAGAGUAACUGCUUGUACCUUGACGGUACCUAACCAGAAAGCCACGGCUAACUACGUGCCAGCCGCCGCGGUAACAC